AUUUUUAAUCUGUCUAUCACAUUGUUAUCUGACUUUUAUUUAUCAUCAAAAUGAUGAUGUAGUUUAUACAAAGAGAUCCAUAUAUCCGUAUAUUAAAAACUGAACUCACAUUAUUGGGAUAUAGAAAACCCGUAUAAAGAACCGAAGAUCGACGGUCAAGAGGAUAAGACGAAAAUAUGACAAAAAUAUAUUGUUAAUAUUGAAGUUUAGAAUAUUUAGCAUUA
rnacentral:sRNA from 1 species